AUCUUACCGCAUGACAUCCCAAUGCCAUGGGGGGAGGGAUAGAAGAGAGGCUCAGCCCGUCAACUGAUCCUGGAAGUCAGAAAGAUUUUAAUUUGCCUAGUUACUUCAGGCAAUUAAUCCACAACUACCCAAAGCAGCGAUAGUGAGAAGCCCACUUCCAGCAUCCGUUUCCCACGCAGGGAAGGACGGACGGAUGGACAGACGGAUGCCGCUCGAUGCCUUGCCCGCCAGGGGAAGGGGAGAACGACCGGGCAGGGAGCCCCACCGCAGCCCCCGUCCCGGGAGUCCUGCACAGCAGUUUAAUAAAGUUUGCUUUCUGGCC